ACGCUGGCGGCGUGCCUAACACAUGCAAGUCAACUUGACUGAAGGAGCAAUCUGACAGUAGAGUGGCGCAAGGGUGCGUAACGCGUAAGUAACUUGCCCCAAGGUAAGGAAUAACGUCGAGAAAUCGGCGCUAAUACCUCAUAAUGCAGCGGAUCCGCAUGGAUAUGUUGUUAAAGGUUUACCGCCUUGAGAUAGGCUUGCGUCUGAUUAGCUAGUUGGUGUGGUAACGGCACACCAAGGCUACGAUCAGUAACUGGUCUGAGAGGAUGAUCAGUCACACUGGAACUGAGACACGGUCCAGACUCCUACGGGAGGCAGCAGUGAGGAAUAUUGGGCAAUGCUCGAAAGAGUGACCCAGCAACGCCGCGUGGAGGAUGAAGGUAUUCUAUAUCGUAAACUCCUGUGAGAGCAGACGAAAGACAGAUUAUUAAUCUGGAUGACUGUAUGCUCAGAGGAAGCCCCGGCUAACUACGUG
rnacentral:rRNA from 1 species